rnacentral:rRNA from 1 species
AUUGAACGCUAGCGGGAUGCCUUACACAUGCAAGUCGAACGAGUGGCGGACGGGUGAGUAAUGUCUGGGAAUCUGCCCGAUGGAGGGGGAUGACUACUGGAAACGGUAGCUAAUACCGCAUACCAUCGGAUGUGCCCAGAUGGGAUUAGCUAGUUGGUGGGGUAACGGCUCACCUAGGCGACGAUCCCUAGCUGGUCUGAGAGGAUGACCAGCCACACUGGAACUGAGACACGGUCCAGACUCCUACGGGAGGCAGCAGUGGGGAAUAUUGCACAAUGGGCGCAAGCCUGAUGCAGCCAUGCCGCGUGUAUGAAGAAGGCCUUCGGGUUGUAAAGUACUUUCAGCGAGGAGGCGUUACUCGCAGAAGAAGCACCGGCUAACUACGUGCCAGCAGCCGCGGUAAUAC